CAGCCGUAAACUAUGCGCGUUAGGUGUACUGGUGACCACGAGUCACCGGGGUGCCGAAGGGAAACCGUGAAACGUGCCGCCUGGGAAGUACGGUCGCAAGGCUGAAACUUAAAGGAAUUGGCGGGGGAGCACCGCAACGGGAGGAGCGUGCGGUUUAAUUGGAUUCAACACCGUAAAACUCACCAGGGAAGACUGUUACAUGAAGGCCGAGAUGAAGACUCUGCUAGAUUUUCAGAGAGGAGGUGCAUGGCGUCAGUGACU
rnacentral:rRNA from 1 species